GGGGCUGUGGCUCAGUGGUAGCGCACUUGCCUGGCAUGCAUGAGACAGUGGGUUCGUUUCUCAGCACCA
rnacentral:tRNA from 1 species